CAGUAGCCGCGGGAAUACGGAGGGUGCAAGCGUUAAUCGGAAUUACUGGGCGUAAAGCGCACGUAGGCGGCUUUGUAAGUUAGAGGUGAAAGCCUGGAGCUCAACUCCAGAAUUGCCUUUAAGACUGCGUCGCUUGAAUCCAGGAGAGGUGAGUGGAAUUCCGAGUGUAGAGGUGAAAUUCGUAGGUAUUCGGAAGAACACCAGUGGCGAAGGCGGCUCACUGGACUGGUAUUGACGCUGAGGUGCGAAAGCGUGGGAGCAAACAGGAUUAGAUACCCGUGUAGUCCCUGUCUCUUAUACA
rnacentral:rRNA from 1 species